UGGGGAAUAUUGCACAAUGGGCGCAAGCCUGAUGCAGCCAUGCCGCGUGUGUGAAGAAGGCCUUCGGGUUGUAAAGCACUUUCAGCGAGGAGGAAGGGUAGUGUGUUAAUAGCACAUUGCAUUGACGUUACUCGCAGAAGAAGCACCGGCUAACUCCGUGCCAGCAGCCGCGGUAAUACGGAGGGUGCAAGGGUUAAUCGGAAUUACUGGGCGUAAAGCGCACGCAGGCGGUUUGUUAAGUCAGAUGUGAAAUCCCCGCGCUUAACGUGGGAACUGCAUUUGAAACUGGCAAGCUAGAGUCUUGUAGAGGGGGGUAGAAUUCCAGGUGUAGCGGUGAAAUGCGUAGAGAUCUGGAGGAAUACCGGUGGCGAAGGCGGCCCCCUGGACAAAGACUGACGCUCAGGUGCGAAAGCGUGGGGAGCAAACA
rnacentral:rRNA from 1 species